AUUGAACGCUGGCGGCAUGCCUUACACAUGCAAGUCGAACGGCAGCACGGGAGCAAUCCUGGUGGCGAGUGGCGAACGGGUGAGUAAAGUAUCGGAACGUGCCCAGUCGUGGGGGAUAACGUAGCGAAAGGUACGCUAAUACCGCAUACGAUCUAGGGAAGAAAGCGGGGGAUCGCAAGACCUCGCGCGAUUGGAGCGGCCGAUAUCAGAUUAGGUAGUUGGUGGGGUCAAGGCUCACCAAGCCGACGAUCUGUAGCUGGUCUGGGAGGACGACCAGCCACACUGGGACUGAGACACGGCCCAGACUCCUACGGGAGGCAGCAGUGGGGAAUUUUGGACAAUGGGCGAAAGCCUGAUCCAGCCAUGCCGCGUGCAGGAUGAAGGCCUUCGGGUUGUAAACUGCUUUUGUACGGAACGAAAAGGUUUGGCCUAAUAAGCUGAGCUCAUGACGGUACCGUAAGAAUAAGCACCGGCUAACUACGUGCCAGCCGCCGCAGUAA
rnacentral:rRNA from 1 species